rnacentral:rRNA from 3 species
UGGGGAAUUUUCCGCAAUGGGCGAAAGCCUGACGGAGCAACGCCGCGUGAGGGACGAAGGCCUCUGGGCUGUAAACCUCUUUUCUCAAGGAAGAAGAUAUGACGGUACUUGAGGAAUAAGCCACGGCUAAUUCCGUGCCAGCAGCCGCGGUAAUACGGGAGUGGCAAGCGUUAUCCGGAAUUAUUGGGCGUAAAGCGUCCGCAGGCGGCUUUUCAAGUCUGCUGUUAAAGCGUGGAGCUUAACUCCAUCAUGGCAGUGGAAACUGAAAGGCUUGAGUAUGGUAGGGGCAGAGGGAAUUCCCGGUGUAGCGGUGAAAUGCGUAGAUAUCGGGAAGAACACCAGUGGCGAAGGCGCUCUGCUGGGCCAUUACUGACGCUCAUGGACGAAAGCCAGGGGAGCGAAAGGG